GCAUUAAUGGGGUAGUGGUAACCUGGGUCGUUGCCAUUCGAACGGUUGCAUCCGUCGACCCGCCGGGGGUUCGAUUCCCCCUUAAUGCA